rnacentral:rRNA from 1 species
UACGGGAGUGGCAAGCGUUAUCCGGAAUUAUUGGGCGUAAAGCGUCCGCAGGCGGCCUGAUAAGUCUGUUGUCAAAGCGUGGAGCUUAACUCCAUUUCGGCAAUGGAAACUGUGAGGCUUGAGUGUGGUAGGGGCAGAGGGAAUUCCCGGUGUAGCGGUGAAAUGCGUAGAUAUCGGGAAGAACACCAGUGGCGAAGGCGCUCUGCUGGGCCAUAACUGACGCUCAUGGACGAAAGCCAGGGGAGCGAAAGGG